CAACUUGCAGCAGGCCAAGAAGUUGAUGUUUCAAGCAAGAAGAACAAAAGUGGUAGGAAGAGAAAAGAACUAGAUCUGUCGAGAAUAGCCACGAUCCCUUUGAACAAAAGAAGAACAAUCCGUUCUCUAGCAAGGUGUUUAGGUGUGCCCCAAUCAACCCUACAUGACAGAUUUCAAUUGCAAGAGCUGAAACGCAUCACAAGCACCAUCCAACCCACCCUCAAGCCAUAG
rnacentral:rRNA from 1 species